rnacentral:rRNA from 1 species
CUGGGCGUAAAGCGCGCGUAGGCGGAUAAUUAAGUCAGAUGUGAAAUCCCUGGGCUCAACCUAGGAACUGCAUUUGAUACUGGUUAUCUAGAGUAUGGUAGAGGUGAGUGGAAUUUCAGGUGUAGCGGUGAAAUGCGUAGAGAUCUGAAGGAACAUCAGUGGCGAAGGCGACUCACUGGGCCAUUACUGACGCUGAGGUGCGAAAGCGUGGGUAGCAAACAGGAUUAGAUACCCUGGUAGUCCACGCCCUAAACGAUGUCAACUAGGUGUGUGAGAGUCUAACUCUUGCGUAUCGAAGCUAACGCGAUAAGUUGACCGCCUGGGGAGUACGGUCGCAAGACUAAAACUCAAAUGAAUUGACGGGGGCCCGCACAAGCGGUGGAGCAUGUGGUUUAAUUCGAUGCAACGCGAAGAACCUUACCUGGCCUUGACAUGUAGUGAACUUACCA